rnacentral:rRNA from 1 species
CAGCCCUGUGAGAGUGGCGAACGGGUGAGUAAUAUAUCGGAACGUGCCCAGUCGUGGGGGAUAACGCAGCGAAAGCUGCGCUAAUACCGCAUACGAUCUAUGGAUGAAAGCGGGGGAUCGCAAGACCUCGCGCGAUUGGAGCGGCCGAUAUCAGAUUAGGUAGUUGGUGGGGUAAAAGCCCACCAAGCCGACGAUCUGUAGCUGGUCUGAGAGGACGACCAGCCACACUGGGACUGAGACACGGCCCAGACUCCUACGGGAGGCAGCAGUGGGGAAUUUUGGACAAUGGGCGCAAGCCUGAUCCAGCAAUGCCGCGUGCAGGACGAAGGCCUUCGGGUUGUAAACUGCUUUUGUACGGAACGAAACGGUCUGGGUUAAUACCCUGGGCUAAUGACGGUACCGUAAGAAUAAGCACCGGCUAACUACGUGCCA